rnacentral:tRNA from 1 species
GUUCCUGUAGUUAAAAUCUUGUAACGACAGUUUUUCAGGCUGUAGAUCCUAGGUAGAAGCUGGGCAGGAACU